UGAUUGAACUCGUCCUAAACGGCUCCACC
rnacentral:sRNA from 1 species